rnacentral:rRNA from 1 species
GAUGAACUCUAGCGGGAGGCCUAAUACAUGCAAGUCGAGCGGUAGAGUGACUUCGGUUGCUUGAGAGCGGCGCACGGGUGAGUAACGCGUACAUGACCUACCUUUAAGACUGGGAUAGCCCUGGGAAACUGGGAUUAAUACCGGAUGUGAUAAUACGUAUAGAGAUGUAUUAUUAAAGUUGAGGCGCUUAGAGAUGGAUGUGCGUCUGAUUAGCUAGUUGGUAGGUAACGGCCUACCAAGGCGACGAUCAGUAGGGGGCGUGAGAGCGUGGCCCCCCACAGGUACGUNAGACACGACCGACUCUACGGAGGC